rnacentral:rRNA from 1 species
UACGUAGGUGGCGAGCGUUGUCCGGAUUUACUGGGCGUAAAGGGAGCGUAGGCGGACUUUUAAGUGAGAUGUGAAAUACUCGGGCUCAACUUGAGUGCUGCAUUUCAAACUGGAAGUCUAGAGUGCAGGAGAGGAGAAUGGAAUUCCUAGUGUAGCGGUGAAAUGCGUAGAGAUUAGGAAGAGCACCAGUGGCGAAAGCGAUUCUCUGGACUGUAACUGACGCUGAGGCUCGAAAGCCUGGGGAGCAAACAGG